AUGCUUUCAUUUGAUCUGAUUCAUCAAAGGGAUUCAUUUCAGCAGCCGAGAGAUUCGUUUGGUGGUCUUCCCUCGUAAUGAAUGAACAGAUAAAGGCUUUAACGAGUGUGUCAUUCUUCAGACAAAGAGCUUUGUGUUUCAGCACAGUCUCAUCAAACCACAUCAAAGUCUCUGUCGACUGAAGGAUACUUCUGUAAAUAAAACUUUGUCAGUUACUGUGUUCGGUUCCUUUCUGAUGUUUACACUCACAUAAGCUCAGAGAGGAUCAUGGGAACACAUGCGGGACAUUAGUGUGUGUUUGACCUCAGCUGUAUCAGGAAAGACAAGGAUCAGAUGCACAGGAACAGGAAGUGUGUGUGUGUGUGUGUGUGUGUGUUUGCAUGUGUGCAUGCGUGUGCGUGUCUGUGUGUGUGAGGUUGAGUUGUGUGUGUUUGUGUGUGUGUGUGUGUGUUUGCAUGUGUGCAUGCGUGUGUGUGUCUGUGUGUGUGAGCAUGAGUUGUUUGUGUGUGUGUGUGUGUGUGUGACACGAAUGGAGGUCAUAUGAGUGUAUUUAUAGUCUGAUGAACGAAUCUCAUGACUACAGUCUGCGUGACUCCUUCAGUUCAGUCAACGAUUGCUUCAUGAAUUUAUUUGAAGAUUUCUUGUUAGUUGUAUUAAUAUCUGACGCUGUUUUGGUUUAUUGUUUCAAUUAAUAGUGAUGCCCCGAAACUAAUUUAUGACCAAAACUGAAAUUUACAUUUUCAUUUAGCUGAAAGACAAGUUUAUUUUAUUUUUAGUCAGUGAUAUGUUAGCAUACUGCUAUAGUUUUUAAGUAUUUUACAUUUUAUUUAUAUAUUUUCUGUUUUAAUUUUAGUUAAGUUUACUAAAUUAAGUUUUUUUUUUUUAAUUUAAAGUUUGUUUUAUUUCAGGUAUUUUAUUAUGGUUUUAGUUAUGUAUUAUUAUAGUAUUUAUAUAUAAUAUAUCCUGAUACAGUUUUACAGAAAAUGCAAGUUUGUAUCAGUGGUGACUAUCUCAAGUUGAUGUGCGUGUGGCAGAAGUGUACGGUAAAGUGGUGCAGUUGUCUGGUGUUGUGA